rnacentral:rRNA from 1 species
CAGCCACACUGGAACUGAGACACGGUCCAGACUCCUACGGGAGGCAGCAGUGGGGAAUAUUGCACAAUGGGCGCAAGCCUGAUGCAGCCAUGCCGCGUGUAUGAAGAAGGCCUUCGGGUUGUAAAGUACUUUCAGCGGGGAGGAAGGCGAUGCGGUUAAUAACCGCGUCGAUUGACGUUACCCGCAGAAGAAGCACCGGCUAACUCCGUGCCAGCAGCCGCGGUAAUACGGAGGGUGCAAGCGUUAAUCGGAAUUACUGGGCGUAAAGCGCACGCAGGCGGUCUGUUAAGUCAGAUGUGAAAUCCCCGGGCUUAACCUGGGAACUGCAUUUGAAACUGGCAGGCUUGAGUCUUGUAGAGGGGGGUAGAAUUCCAGGUGUAGCGGUGAAAUGCGUAGAGAUCUGGAGGAAUACCGGUGGCGAAGGCGGCCCCCUGGACAAAGACUGACGCUCAGGUGCGAAAGCGUGGGGAGCAAA